UUCACUUUUCAUUUAAAUGUCAACGAAACGUGCUAUAAAAGGAACUCGUUGAAGUCAACUUUAAAACUGUUUCUCUUCAUAUCAAUUGAAAACGAUAUUGAACACAUUUUUUUCAUAAGCAAUUUGUAUUUUCGUAAUAAUAUAAUUAGACGCUGACCAUAUUUUCGGCUUCACAUCAUCGAAAUAUUGGGUGUCCGGCAAACAAAUUGAACAGAUUGAAAAAUGGCUGAUAAAGCAAUUCUAGAUGGGGCGUUUGAAUAUUUGAAGGGCGGUCCAUAUGGCAAUUCGAAAAUCGCAACAAAAAAAAACAUGCUUGAUUUACUUCAAAGAGUAAAUAACAUUAUAAUGGAAAAGAUACCCGAAAAUAUCAACGUGGAAAUUUUGGAAUUUUCAGACAAAGAAUAUGAGUUUAUAGAGGGAGUUGUGAUGAAGCAAGAUAAGUUGGAAAAGAUGCUCGAGGAAUAAAAAACAACGAAUUUAAUUCAAAAUAAAGAAAAAUCAUAUGUCUCUUCAUUAAAACACCAUUUAAACAUGUGAAAUUCACUAUCAAUUUAAUGCAAUAAAUUCAUUGAAAAUCGCUAUUCAAA